CGUGGCGACGCGGAAUCUGAAGGAAGCCCUAGGCAAAUCCUCGGUCUGAGGUACACGAAUCACAUUUGAGGUUUACGUUUCAGGACGAGUUUGCAAAACAAAACAAAGUCCAAAAUAUCCCCAGAUGAACCGUAAAUAAAUGUGGCAGAUAUAUGAGGAGAAAGUGAA
rnacentral:ncRNA from 1 species